rnacentral:rRNA from 1 species
GACGAACGCUGGCGGCGUGCUUAACACAUGCAAGUCGAACGGAAAGGCCCUGCUUUUGUGGUGUGCUCGAGGGGCGAACGGGUGAGGAACACGUGAGUAACCUGCCCUUGACUUUGGGAUAACUUCAGGAAACUGGGGCUAAUACCGGAUAGGAGCUCCUGCUGCAUGGUGGGGGUUGGAAAGUUGCGGCGGUUGGGGAUGGACUCGCGGCUUAUCAGCUUGUUGGUGGGGUAGUGGCUUACCAAGGCCUUGACGGGUAGCCGGCCUGAGAGGGUGACCGGCCACAUUGGGACUGAGAUACGGCACAGACUCCUACGGGAGGCAGCAGUGGGGAAUGUUGCACAAUGGGCGGAGGCCUGAUGCAGCAACGCCGCGUCGGGGAUGGCGGCAUUCGGGUUGUAUACCGCUUUCGCCUGUGACGAAGCGUGAGUGACGGUAAUGGGUAAAGAAGCACCGGCUAACUACGUG